rnacentral:rRNA from 1 species
UUGAACGCUGGCGGCAGGCCUAACACCUGCAAGUCGAACGGUAACAGGAAGCAGCUUGCUGCUUUGCUGACGAGUGGCGGACGGGUGAGUAAUGUCUGGGAAACUGCCUGAUGGAGGGGGAUAACUACUGGAAACGGUAGCUAAUACCGCAUAACGUCGCAAGACCAAAGAGGGGGACCUUCGGGCCUCUUGCCAUCGGAUGUGCCCAGAUGGGAUUAGCUAGUAGGUGGGGUAACGGCUCACCUAGGCGACGAUCCCUAGCUGGUCUGAGAGGAUGACCAGCCACACUGGAACUGAGACACGGUCCAGACUCCUACGGGAGGCAGCAGUGGGGAAUAUUGCACAAUGGGCGCAAGCCUGAUGCAGCCAUGCCGCGUGUAUGAAGAAGGCCUUCGGGUUGUAAAGUACUUUCAGCGGGGAGGAAGGGAGUAAAGUUAAUACCUUUGCUCAUUGACGUUACCCGCAGAAGAAGCACCGGCUAACUCCGUG